UCUCCCUCCCUUUGAAAAACAGUUCAUCAACUUGAAUGUAGCAGAAUAAAUUACAACAGGGAGACGUUCAAAGAAUGAACUGAUUCUUGCUGGACGUGAGACCUUACAAGGAGCAAACUCUCUUUUGAUAAGCUGUAUGGACUUUGUGGACUCCUCUUCUUGUACGCAGCAGGCGGCCAUAUGUUUCCCAACAAGG